UACGUAGGGUGCAAGCGUUGUCCGGAAUUAUUGGGCGUAAAGAGCUCGUAGGCGGCUUGUCGCGUCGGCUGUGAAAACCUGGGGCUCAACCCCGGGCCUGCAGCCGAUACGGGCAAGCUAGAAUUCGGUAGGGGAGACUGGAAUUCCAGGUGUAGCGGUGAAAUGCGUAGAUAUCUGGAGGAACACCGGUGGCGAAGGCGGCAUCCUGGACCAAUAUUGACGCUGAGGAGCGAAAGCUAGGGGAGCAAACGGG
rnacentral:rRNA from 1 species